rnacentral:tRNA from 1 species
GGCAAAGUGGCAGAGUUGGUUAUCGCGUAUGACUAGAAUACCACUAUAUCAUAUUCCUUCGGGAGCGCAUGUUCGAAUCAUGUCUUUGUCG